rnacentral:misc_RNA from 1 species
GAUGAAGAACGUAGCGAAAUGCGAUAAGUAGUGUGAAUUGCAGAAUUCAGUGAAUCAUCGAAUCUUUGAACGCACAUUGCGCCUCAUGGUAGUCCGUGAGGCAUGCCUGUUCGAACGUCAUCAAUCCCCUCGAGCCCGCUGGUUUUAUCGCCACUGGUGCCUCGGUUGUGUUGGAUGUGGGGCCUCGCGCCCCCCACCGACGAAAUACAUUGAGCUGAUCCACUGGUCGCCAAAGCGUAGUAGGCCUAAUAAGCUCUCGCCUGGAAUCAGACCAUGUCGGUGUCACGCCGUACAACCCAUCACAUUUCAUGAGAUUGACUUCGGAUCAGGUAGGGAUACCCGCUGAACUUAAGCAUAUCAAUAAGCGGAGGA